GAUGAACGCUGGCGGCGUGCCUAAUACAUGCAAGUCGAGCGAACGGACGAGAAGCUUGCUUCUCUGAUGUUAGCGGCGGACGGGUGAGUAACACGUGGAUAACCUACCUAUAAGACUGGGAUAACUUCGGGAAACCGGAGCUAAUACCGGAUAAUAUUUUGAACCGCAUGGUUCAAAAGUGAAAGACGGUUUUGCUGUCACUUAUAGAUGGAUCCGCGCUGCAUUAGCUAGUUGGUAAGGUAACGGCUUACCAAGGCAACGAUGCAUAGCCGACCUGUAAGGGUGAUGGGCCACACUGGAACUGAGACACGGUCCAGACUCCUACGGGAGGCAGCAGUAGGGAAUCUUCCGCAAUGGGCGAAAGCCUGACGGAGCAACGCCGCGUGAGUGAUGAAGGUCUUCGGAUCGUAAAACUCUGUUAUUAGGGAAGAACAUAUGUGUAAGUAACUGUGCACAUCUUGACGGUACCUAAUCAGAAAGCCACGGCUAACUACGUG
rnacentral:rRNA from 1 species